AACUUCAGCAAAUAUAUUAAUGCCGAUGCAUUCUUGGAUCAGAUUUUUGCCCAUUAUUGUACUUCUCUUUAAAAGACUCUUAGCAACCAUCAAUCUGCUUUUUCUUUUGUUUUGUUUUUUUCAUCUUAUUCCUCAUACCUUUGCCGAUAAUCUUGGUUACACAUCGUAGGACCGGUGAUCUACGGGAAGCUCUGAAGUACAUAUACAGUCCAUACGUUGAAUAUGUGGCUAAAAGCCCUCUCUACGCUCCAGGAACUCCUAUCAGGUGUGACCUUUUCAAUACAAAUCUUGACCAAUAUGUAAGAAGCAUUUCGUAAAACCUCGGUAUGGAGAUAAAUAUGUAUAUGCCUUUUGGCCAUGGAUUAAGCUUAGUGGACAAUCUGGAGAAUUGGUUGAUUGUGAUGUGCCUGCUCGGUGUAUUAUGUGCCUCUCUCUUUGCUGCCAGUGCUAGUCCAACUCCAAUCUUCCUACUUUUGUGUAUCAGCCACUUCCUUUGUAAACAGAUUAGCAGAGGAAUUUUUUAUGCUCCUCUUGCUUCUAUAUGGAUGAUAGUGAUUGUUGCUGUGGA